AUGGCGCCGUCAUCGUCCCUCGUCAAGAAGGCUUCGCCCACGAAGCAGCGCCGCCUGCCCCGCGCUCGCCGUUCUUCACAGCACAUCACCGCUUUGAGCCCCCAGCCCGAGGCGCUCCUUGGUGCCACCCUUCAUUGGGUCGACCACAUUGUGCCGGUCUUGCAGGAGCAGGAAGACGCCGUGGUCGCAACCUCAACGGCACCCAAGACGAAUCGUGCUACUCCCUCCGACGAGACCGUGGUGGUCCACGCUGGGGAGAAGGUAGGCAGCAUGGCGGGCACAGAUUCAAUCACGACACCGAUCGUGAGCGGCACGACACACUGGUUCAAGAACUCGGACGACCUCAUCGCGUUCAAGGAAGGCAGGCGCCACAGCUUUGAGUAUGGCCGCUACGGCAACCCCACCGUGAAGGUCCUGGAGGACAAGAUCAGCGCGCUCGAGAGGGCAGAGUCCACGCUGGUCACGUCCUCCGGCAUGAACGCCAUCGUCGCCACGCUACUUGCGCUCGUGCCGCCCAGUGCCGGCCACGUGGUGACCACGACCGAGUGCUACAGCGAGGCGCGUGCCUUCAUCCGCGACAAGCUCUCUAGGUUGGGCAUCAAGGUGACAUUCGUCGAGCUGAAUGACACGGAGACGCUCAAGGCCGUUCUUGACAAGGGCGACGUGACACUCUACUACACUGACUCUCCGACGAACCCCCAUCUCAAGUGCAUCGACAUUAAGCUCGUCGCGGAGCUGUGUCACCACAAAGGGGCUCUGGUAUGCAUCGACAGCACCCUCGCCUCACCCAUCAAUCAGAAGCCUCUCACCCUGGGGGCUGACAUCGUCGUGCACUCCGCCACAAAGUACAUCGCCGGCCAUCACGACGUCAUCGCAGGAUGCAUCAGUGGCUCCGAUGCGCUCAUCUCCAGGAUAAGAGUGUGGCAUCACGACAUCGGCGGCACCAUUAGUCCCGAUGCAGCCUACAUGAUAAUACGCGGCCUCAAGACGAUGGCGCUACGUGUGGACACGCAGAACCGUACUGCGUUGCGUAUGGCGCGCCUACUCGAGAACCAUCCAAUGAUUGAGCGAGUGUACUAUCCUGGGCUCACCACCAGCCCGUGGCACCACAUCGCCAAGAGCCAGAUGACCGGUUCUGGCGGCAUCAUAAGCUUCGAGGUGGCAUCGGACCUUCACGGUGUCAUGAGGUUCAUCGAUGCUCUGGAGAUACCCUUCAUCGCGAUGUCACUCGGUGGGUGUGAGAGCCUCGUGCAGCAGCCAGCGGUCAUGUCCUUCUGGGGUCAGAGUGGCGAGGAGAAGGCCAAUAAUGGGAUUAAGGACAACUUGGUGAGGUUUAGCUUUGGGAUUGAGAAGUUUGAGGAUCUCAAGGAUGACGUUCUCCAAGCCCUCAAGAAGAUUUAG
rnacentral:rRNA from 1 species